rnacentral:rRNA from 1 species
CCUUAGUUUAAUUCUGGCUAGAGGAGAGGGGAUAAAUGCGGUACCACAUAAAAAUUUUAUUUUUCUUUUGUCUUAAAUAUUAUGACGCUGUUUAGUGGUUGGUUCUCGGUUUACAAUAAUGUUGGAACGGGGCAUUUGUUAUUGUGAAGUGGAUAAGACACAGUGCCAGCAUCCGCGGUUAUUCUGUUUGCUUGUCUCUCUUAUUAGGAGAAAAUAUUUAUCAAUUAUAUUUCUUAAUUUACAGUAAUAAGUUAUCUAGGUUUAAAAUGUGAAUUGAUCAGUUGUGAUUUACUAUUAAGGAUGGGGAUUAGAGACCCCCUUACUGGUAGAGUGAAGUUUGUUCCUUGGUUUAAACUAAAAGGAUUUGGCAGCCGGUGAGAUUCGUUCGGGGGAGUGUGUUUUUUAAAAAGAUAGUCCGCUUAUGAUUUUACUAUAGCUAGCUUAGUUAGUGUACGUCCGAUUUAAUAUUUGUGAUUAAUGUCUGAAUGAGUGAAAUGAUUAAUUUAAGUCAGGUCUAUGUGCUACUAAUGUUAUAUGGUAAUUAUGCACUACAUUAUUUAAAGUUUAAUGUUGAGAGAGUGUUUUUAAAUUUAGGACUCGAUAGUAGGGGGAUGUAAAGUUUGGUCUUUCGAAGUUGAUUUAGCUGGGGUACACAUCGCCCGUCAAUUCCAGCAUUAGUUGGGGUAAGUCGUAACAUGGUAGUGAUUGGGGAACCAGUCGCUAGUUGACU